CGACUUUCAGCGGCGGAUGUCUUGGUUCCCACAACGAUGAAGAACGCAGCGAAAUGCGAUACGUAAUGCGAAUUGCAGAGUCCAGCGAGUCAUCAAAUGUUCGAACGCACCUGGCACUUCCGGGAUAUUCCUGGGAGUAUGCUUGUUGGAGUGUCUGUU
rnacentral:rRNA from 1 species